AAGCCCAGGAGGGUAGGGGUAAAAGAAAAAGGAAGCAAAUUAACAUCGAUUCUGAGAGUGAGGAUGAGGAAAGACAAUCCAGGAAAAACCUUCCUAAACCACCUGCGGUGCCCACCAUCAGAAGUCACCAAGCAAUGUCAUCCACCACCAGCAGCCACUUUCCGUACUCAUCAAACACAGCUACCUUCGCCACCCGCCACCCAUCUACACCUGUCGGGCAUAUCAUCCAUUCACUAGCUACGCCCACCAACUCCAUCCAAAGUGAAACAAGAGUUGGAUCGAGAACUCCUCUAUCAGAGUACAACUUUCAGCUGAAAGUUUUUAGGGCCAUAGAGGAGGUCAAGGCGAUAGCCCUGAACACUUCCAAGAUGCUGCAAGCACCUCUGACCCA